UCGACCAAACACCCCUGUACAGAACUUCUCUUCUAAAACCCUAAUUCAUUCAUCUACAUCAAAAAUCAAAGAAGAAAAUCAAGUUUGAAUCAAUUUCAAGUGAAAUUAGUGAUCAUCAUACUUAGUAUAUCACAAGGCAAUUUGGGUGGAACCUCAAGUAAUCAAGGAGGAUCGGAUAAUCGUUUGAAAGGAAAGCUUUAAAAGGUAAAUGUUAUGAACUUGCGGAUGACGAUCAAGCAUGAUUAGAGAACCGAACACACGCGUAAAAGAAGCUUCCACAAAAGCAAAGAAAUUAUGUCUUUUGUUACUAAAUACUUUAGUAAUGUUUUAUCAAACUUUUGUAAAUAUGGUUUGAGUGUUUUGAAAGUUAAAUAUGUUUUGUUAUAACACUAUGGUUGGAAACGUUAGUAAACAUAA